CCUACGGGAGGCAGCAGUGAGGAAUAUUGGUCAAUGGGCGGAAGCCUGAACCAGCCACGUCGCGUGCAGGAUGACGGCCCUACGGGUUGUAAACCGCUUUUAUACGGGAAUAACGCGCCUUACGUGUCGGGCUUCGCAUGUACCGUAUGAAUCAGGACCGGCUAAUUCCGUUCCAGCAGACGCGGUACUACGGUAGGUCCGGGGGUGAUCCGGAUUUAUUGGGUUUAAGGGGUGCGUAGGCGGACGCUUAAGUUAGCGGUAAAAUUGCGGGGCUCAACCUCGUCGAGCCGUUGAAACUGGGUGCCUUGAGUGGGCGAGAGGUACGCGGAAUGCGCGGUGUAGCGGUGAAAUGCAUAGAUAUCGCGCAGAACUCCGAUUGCGAAGGCAGCGUACCGGCGCCAGACUGACGCUGAGGCACGAAAGCGUGGGGAUCGAACAGGAUUAGAUACCCUGGUAGUC
rnacentral:rRNA from 1 species